rnacentral:rRNA from 1 species
AGAGCGAACGCUGGCGGCAGGCCUAACACAUGCAAGUCGAACGGACCCUUCGGGGUUAGUGGCGGACGGGUGAGUAACACGUGGAAACGUGCCUUUUGGUUCGGAAUAGCUCCUGGAAACGGGUGGUAAUGCCGAAUGUGCCCUUCGGGGGAAAGAUUUAUCGCCGUUAGAGCGGCCCGCGUCUGAUUAGCUAGUUGGUGAGGUAAAGGCUCACCAAGGCUACGAUCAGUAGCUGGUCUGAGAGGAUGACCAGCCACAUUGGGACUGAGACACGGCCCAAACUCCUACGGGAGGCAGCAGUGGGGAAUCUUGCGCAAUGGGCGAAAGCCUGACGCAGCCAUGCCGCGUGAAUGAGUAGAAGGUCUUAGGAUUAGUUAAAAUUCUUUACACCGGGUACGAUAAUGACGGUACCGGAGAAGAACGACCCGGCUAACUCGU